rnacentral:rRNA from 1 species
UACGGAGGGGGCUAGCGUUGCUCGGAAUCACUGGGCGUAAAGCGCACGUAGGCGGCUUGUUAAGUCAGGGGUGAAAUCCUGGAGCUCAACUCCAGAACUGCCUUUGAUACUGGCGAUCUUGAGUCCGGGAGAGGUGAGUGGAACUGCGAGUGUAGAGGUGAAAUUCGUAGAUAUUCGCAAGAACACCAGUGGCGAAGGCGGCUCACUGGACCACAACUGACGCUGAGGCGCGAAAGCUAGGGGAGCAAACAGG